ensembl:lncRNA
CCAGGCAGUCAGAGCUGAAGCAUUACCAGCUUUAUUAAUCACUCCAAGCACCAGCACCUGCUUCCACUCAGUCUGGAUUAGGGCCACAUCCCCUACCAUAACAGGCCACAUCCCCUACCAUAACAGGCCACAUCCCCUACCAUAACAGGUCACAUCCCCUACCAUAACAGGCCACAUCCCCUACCAUAACAGGCCACAUCCCCUACCAUAACAGGCCACACCCCCUACCAUAACAGGCCACAUCCCCUACCAUAACAGGUCACAUCCGCACCAUAACAGGCCACAUCCCCUACCAUAACAGGUCACAUUCGCACCAUAACAGGCCACAUCCAUUCCAGAGUCUGAGUGGUGCUGAUGGAAUGGUAACGGAAAAGCUGAUAGAGCGUGAAAGAAAAGUUGAAACCAAAGUUGAAAGAGAAAAAUGCAGGAGGAGGAUAAAAAGCUGGAAGAACAAAGGAGACUUGAAGCUGUGUGUAUGUGUGUGUGUGAGAGAGAG